UGGGGAAUUUGGACAAUGGGCGAAAGCCUGAUCCAGCAAUGCCGCGUGUGUGAAGAAGGCCUUCGGGUUGUAAAGCACUUUUGUCCGGAAAGAAAUCCUUGGCUCUAAUACAGUCGGGGGGAUGACGGUACCGGAAGAAUAAGCACCGGCUAACUACGUGCCAGCAGCCGCGGUAAUACGUAGGGUGCAAGCGUUAAUCGGAAUUACUGGGCGUAAAGCGUGCGCAGGCGGUUUGCUAAGACCGAUGUGAAAUCCCCGGGCUCAACCUGGGAACUGCAUUGGUGACUGGCAGGCUAGAGUAUGGCAGAGGGGGGUAGAAUUCCACGUGUAGCAGUGAAAUGCGUAGAGAUGUGGAGGAAUACCGAUGGCGAAGGCAGCCCCCUGGGCCAAUACUGACGCUCAUGCACGAAAGCGUGGGGAGCAAAACAGGAUUAGAUACCCUGGUAGUCCACGCCCUAAACGAUGUCAACUAGUUGUUGGGGAUUCAUUUCCUUAGUAACGUAGCUAACGCGUGAAGUUGACCGCCUGGGGAGUACGGUCGCAAGAUUAAAACUCAAU
rnacentral:rRNA from 1 species